GGCGGCGUGCUUAACACAUGCAAGUCGAACGAUGAAAGCAGGAGCUUGCUUUUGCUGGAUUAGUGGCGAACGGGUGAGUAACACGUGAGUAACCUGCCCUUGACUCUGGGAUAAGCGUUGGAAACGACGUCUAAUACCGGAUACGAGCUAGGACCGCAUGGUCACUAGUUGGAAAGAAUUUCGGUCAAGGAUGGACUCGCGGCCUAUCAGCUAGUUGGUGAGGUAACGGCCCACCAAGGCGACGACGGGUAGCCGGCCUGAGAGGGUGACCGGCCACACUGGGACUGAGACACGGCCCAGACUCCUACGGGAGGCAGCAGUGGGGAAUAUUGCACAAUGGGCGCAAGCCUGAUGCAGCAACGCCGCGUGAGGGACGACGGCCUUCGGGUUGUAAACCUCUUUUAGCAGGGAAGAAGCGAAAGUGACGGUACCUGCAGAAAAAGCACCGGCUAACUACGUGCCAGCAGCCGCGGUAAUACGUAGGGUGCAAGCGUUGUCCGGAAUUAUUGGGCGUAAAGAGCUCGUAGGCGGUUUGUCGCGUCUGCUGUGAAAAUCCGAGGCUCAACCUCGGACCUGCAGUGGGUACGGGCAAACUAGAGUGCGGUAGGGGAGAUUGGAAUUCCUGGUGUAGCGGUGGAAUGCGCAAUAUCAGGAGGAACACC
rnacentral:rRNA from 1 species